CAUUGAAACACCGUUUCUCAUACGAUCACCAAAGUUAAGCAAGGUCGAUCCUCGUCAGUAACUAGAUGGGUGAUCGCAUGUAAAUACCACGUGUUGUA